AGCCUUCUGAAUUCGUACCAAUAUUUCAUCAGACACCAAAACACUGGGACUGAUAAGAAUUCCAAGAUAAAUGAAGUG
rfam:Schistosoma haematobium scaffold564_7, whole genome shotgun sequence.